CAGCCCUAAACGAUGCGCGUUAGGUGUAUCGGUGACCACGAGUCACCGAGGUGCCGAAGGGAAACCGUGAAACGUGCCGCCUGGGAAGUACGGUCGCAAGGCUGAAACUUAAAGGGAAUUGGCGGGGGAGCACCACAACGGGUGGAGCCUGCGGUUUAAUUGGACUCAACGCCGGGAAGCUCACCGGAUAAGACAGCGGAAUGAUUGCCGGGCUGAAGACCCUGCAUGACCAGCUGAGAGGAGGUGCAUGGCGUAGACGUCU
rnacentral:rRNA from 1 species